rnacentral:rRNA from 1 species
UACAGAGGUCUCAAGCGUUGUUCGGAUUCAUUGGGCGUAAAGGGUGCGUAGGCGGCGCGGUAAGUCGGGUGUGAAAUCUCGGGCUUAACUCCGAAACUGCAUUCGAUACUGCGGUGCUUGAGGACUGGAGAGGAGACUGGAAUUCAUGGUGUAGCAGUGAAAUGCGUAGAGAUCAUGAGGAAGACCAGUGGCGAAGGCGGGUCUCUGGACAGUUCCUGACACUGAGACACGAAGGCCAGGGGAGCAAACGGGG